AAGGAAGAGGCACCACCGCAUGCUGGAGGCUGGAGCCACGGCGGCUUGCCUCGCUGCGGUUGGUGGUGACAUCGGAGACCGCAGCUACGAGCUAAAGCAAGCUCAGUACUACUGGUGAUUUGGAAAGUGCCUUCAUAUUGUUUUUGCCAGUUCUCACCUGAGAACCCUGCAGAUGCCCCAUGAGAGGCUGUGCCCUUUACAAGGAGUCUCCAGUGAUACAGCUGAUUUUCCUCCAUACUCUAAUCCCCUUCAUGGCUGCAGCAUCAACAGAUUGCUCUCUUGAAUCUGACCCCAGUUGUUUUAUUAAUUAUACCCCUUUUUGUGACACAGGAAGGCUAAGAUGAAGCUGUCUUGGAUGGAAAAGAAUUCGUUCUCCUCACAUGGAAUAAAGAUCUUGAAAAGUAUUUUUUCUAUGUAGGGUCUGUCCGGACAAAGUUCUGGGCAUAUUUAUCAGAGAACAGUUCUCCUGAUAUCAGAGCCAUGAGGGAAUCUGUUUGGAUUCUCAUCUUGAGAACCCAGAAGUUUCUGGAGGGAAAUUUCAUAAAAGUGUGGGGUGCGUGGCCCCCAGGAGUUCUUACCCUACCCUAUCCACACUUGUCUGCUAGGCAUUUAUGGAAUUAUCAUGUAACUGUUUCCACCAGCUUGUGCUUUCAAUGGAAGAAUCACCCAAUUUAUAAAUUUAGAAAAGAAACUUUAUUUCUGAUAAAUGGGUGAAGCUGCAGGAUGGCCAUCUUAACAGGCCGGAAAGCAAAGCCUCCCACAGAGACAGUGAGCAGGCACUUCAAGAGAGGGAAAGGUGAGAAAUGAGUUCAUGCAAAUGGAUUGGCCAAGUGCACAUACUCAGCGGGCUAUAGAAGGAGCUAUGAAUAUUCACAUGGUGGGCAGGCUGUCAUGCAUAAUAAGCAAACACAGAUGUUACAUGCAUUUCAUGUUUGCUUUGGGGCGAGGACUUAAGAACUAAACAAAUUACAGUUGGGCCGUGUACAUCAAAAGGGCUUUGUGCAGAGGCAGAAGGACACACAGUGCACAGCCUCCAUAAUUUGGCAAGGACAAGUCCAUGGUGAGUGGUCUCUUCUCAGGAGAAAGUUACUGAAAUCAGUCCUUCUCCAUUCAAAGCUCUUUUUAUGGCUGUGGAACGGGCACAGUUACCCAGUGUCUUGAGUUCCAUGAGCUGCAAAUAUUUUAAUAUUCUUAUCGUAGGACCAGUGCUUUUUAGCUGCUAGAGAAAAUGAAAAGCCCUGUGGCAGUUACAACAUAGUCUAUUUUUUAAGUGUAGGAGUGAGUGACUUAAUUUUUGCUUGAUGUGGACUUGGGUCUUGUUUAUAAUUUGGUAUCUUAUUGCCACAACAAGAUUGUUCCAUCAGUCUGAUGAUCUCUAUUUUAAUGUCUUUCUAGUUUUUGGGUCUUGGUUUUCCCUGCAAUUUGAUUUCUUAAAUAGAUCCAAGAAGUUAUUGAUAAUCAAUUUUCCAGGCUUUCAUUGUUGUAGGAAUGUAGGGGAUGACUGACAUGCUCUUUACAUAUUAAAGUGGAAAACAGAAGUAGCUUCAGAGAUCACCAUUGACCUGACAAGCAGCAGGAAUCUCAUCUCGUUAAGUGUAAGUGGCACCACAGAUGUAGCUGAACAUGCAGUGACACAGAAGACCCACACCACAGAACACAUGAAAAAUUUUAUGAUUCUGAGGUUUUCUCCAGGAAGCUGGAACUCAGGUGGUACUACAGAGAUGGACUCAGUUAUCUCUCAGGUGAUACUAUGUUUUGGAAGCUUAUUUCCACUCCUGCACUGGACUCAUUAGCUGCACCUCGACCAGCACACCUAAAACAGAAACUCUCAAUAAUUAAGCACAAAACUCACCAAUAAUAAAGCUGUCCCCAGAGAAGGUGCAGAGCAGGGAACUCUGCUUUUGGGAACAUGCUGGUGUGCAGGGAGUGUCAGGAGCGUGACCCAUUUCCUUCUGCUCCCCCUGCUGGCUUCACAGACAACUGCAUCCAGGAGCUUUAUGUUGCAAAGUAUAUAAAAUAUGUUAUAAUUGUAGAGAAAUGUAAUACACAGAUUAAGGAAUGAGGAACGUACAUGAAAUUAAACAUAAUAUUAUCACGGAUAAGACAACAAACAAAUAUUAAAAACCUGUGUGUGUACGUGUUUGAGAUAGUAUUCUUGUAAAUUAAAUCAUAAUUUGUUUAUAAAGUCCUUCAACUAUGUACAAAAUCUUUGCCUUUGAUUGCCACAAAGAUGAAGAAGGAUGUGGCACCAGGACUCCAGGGCCAUGCUAGUGAUUUCCCCUCCUAUCUCCUGAGGACACGGUGCUUCCAACUCUGAGGAUCAGGAUGCUGAAAUUGGCUGUGUGAGAAGAGAAAAUGGGAUUUUCUGUGGGAACAGACUAGUGUGAAUGUAACUUUCAAGCAAGUAAGUUUAUUCUACCAUGAGACACACAGCUAUCAUGCUGACUGUGUGUUGCUUUUGACAUUAAUAUGAUAUUAUCAGUAUUGGGUUGUUCCAUGGAAAAUGACCAAUUGUCUCAGAAUUAACUGGAGUCGUUUUCAUUUCAGUUUUUUCACACUUCUAGCUAAAUCACCUAAUUUUACUGUGUUUGAGCUUGGAAAGUUUCAGGGCGUGGGUUACAAAUGAUGGAGUGGAAGGUCUCCCAAGAGUUAGAUGUGGUUCUGCUAAAGGAUGACCCAGGAUUUGUCCAGAAGCUCCCCUCCUUGUCUGUCCCAGCACUUGCUCCUCAGUGCGCCCCAUCCUGCCAGAGUGCUGAGCUUCUCUGCGUUCCUGGACAAUGCACGUCUGGGGCAUCUGCUUCCUAGAUGUGCAUACAUAGGGCGGGCUGCUCUUCAUAAUGGUUGAGAGGGAGCUGGGCCUGGAUCCACCCAGGUGGCCCUACCACUGUGAACUGGGCUUCCUCCCAGCAAGGAGACAAGGUCAGUUGAGUGCCUUCACUUCAGACAACUACUAGGAGGUGAUUUUAGUCAAAUUGUCACAUCCUUUGUCUAUGUAAUCCAGCAAUCAUGCUUUUAAGUGUUUAUCUGACUGCAAAAGUAAGUCCACAAAGAAAACUGCACAUGAGUAAUUGCAAUAGCUUCAUUUACAUUUUCCCAAAACUAUAAACAUUCAGAAAGUUUUUCUGUAGGUGAAAACCAAACUGUGAUAAAUUCAUAUAAUGGAAUUAUAUAGCAAUGAUAAAGAAGUGCUAGCAAACCAUGAAAACACAUGAAUAAAUCUUAAAUGCAUAUUGUCAAGUAAAAUAGUCUGAUAAAGCUAUACAAUAUAUAAUUUAAUUUAUUUGAUCUGGAGAAGGCCAAACUUUAAACAAAGUGAAAAAAAUUAUAUUUGCCGGCAAUUUGGGGAGAAGGUGAGAAUAGAUUAAAAAAUAGAAGACUUUAAAGGAUGAUGAAACUAUUAUGUAUAAUAUUGCAAUGGUAGAUAUAUGAUGUCAUAAAUUUGUCAAAAUCCACAGACUAUACAGCAUGAAGGCUAGAUUUUACUUUACAAAAAAUAAAAGAUUAGGGACCCCAAGAUGGAAUGCAGAUCGUACAGAAAAUAUCUGAUGUCCUUAUUAAUGCAUGAAACAACUUUGUCGAAUAAAGUAUGUGAAAAAGGCUGCUAAAUCACUUUAGAAAUAGUGACACCAAUAAGACUAAAAAAUAAACCAUGUCAGCACUGUCCUCUAGUUGAUGAUGAUGUUCCACAAGGAGCACAGCUUACCAAUUGUGAUUCCACGCUACAAGAAUCCUAGAAUUGGACAACACGGGGUAUAGAUGGUGUGUGGUGGGAGGGGGUUCCUCACACUUGGAGUGGGAGGUUACAGACAGCAAGGAAGAACGGUGAGAAAUGUCCAUGUAGUACUGGAUUAGAGUGAAAGUGCUAGUAAUUUUGUAUGAUUGACAUAAUCUGCAUGCAAUAAAUUAAACGAAAAUACUUCUUUGAAGAAAGUGCAAAAUAGGCUAUGACCUAAAUAACUUUGGAAAUGAGGGAAUUCUGAAAGUCUAAAGUGUAAGUAAACUGCACGUAAUCACUGUACUCUAGUGGAUAAACAUGUUUCCGGCAGAGGUACAGCUUCACAAUUUUGAUUCCGCUAUGCACGUUUCCUGAAAUUGUGCUGCUAAGUAAUACUAUGGAAUAUGGUGGGAUGGAGUUCCUCAUUUGGCAAUGGGUGGUGAUUGACAGGCAAGGCAGGCAGGCUAGAAAUGUCCAUGUGGUAUUGUAAUUGGGUGGAGACAAGAAUGUGUUCUCAUUUUUAAUGUGUUACAGGUACGGAAGACUAGAUAUGUAAAUAGUCGAGAUGUAUCUCUAAACGUGGGUUAAUAAACACCUGCACAUUUUCUAAGCCAUUUAGUUGAGAGGUCCUUGAGGCACUUACAUCCCACUAACAGUAUAUACACCCAACUUCACAAUUCUCUAUUUUAAUACCAUUCUUCAACACCAGAAGCCAGUAAUCUUCAGAAAAACAGCAGAUUCUAUGUAUGGAAAAGAUAAUACGGAAAAUAAGCUUAGGAUUUCUUAUAAUACCAGAAAAUAGGGAAGUGUUCAAAAACAAAAGGAGGAGAUGUCAUGUAAGGAUACAGGAUCCAAAUUAAAUGAACUCCAAGCACAUAAAAAAAACUGUGAUGAUUUGAGCAAAAGCAUAAAUAAUGAAGCAUGGAUCUUCCUCAUAGUAUAAAAUAAGCAUCUUUAAGCCAAUACUAUUAUAAUAGAUGAGUAAAUAAAAUGUGAAAAGAAGGACGAAUCUUCCUUACAGAGUUAUUCAAAAUAUUUUAGGCUGAUAGUAUUCUCAUCAUGUAGGUGAGGUUUAAACACUCGUGUUGAUUGUGGUCUGAGAUUAUAGAGAUGGGAAAAAAAAUCACUGCUAGUUUAUUUUAUAACCAGUUUUUAGAAAUAAUGCCAAAAACAUGGUCUGUGAGUGAAUACAAUUAUUCAUGGUAAUGUAUCCAAAUUUGCAAACACACAUUUUUCUGCAAUAAACACUGAUAAGCAACUAAAAAGACAAAUCACAGAC
rnacentral:lncRNA from 1 species